rnacentral:rRNA from 1 species
AAAAAGCGGAGGAAAAGAAACCAACAGGGAUUGCCUUAGUAGCGGCGAGUGAAGCGGCAAAAGCUCAAAUUUGAAAUCUGGCUCUUUCAGAGUCCGAGUUGUAAUUUGAAGAAGGUAUCUUUGGGUCUGGCUCUUGUCUAUGUUUCUUGGAACAGAACGUCACAGAGGGUGAGAAUCCCGUGCGAUGAGAUGAUCCAGGCCUAUGUAAAGUUCCUUCGAAGAGUCGAGUUGUUUGGGAAUGCAGCUCUAAGUGGGUGGUAAAUUCCAUCUAAAGCUAAAUAUUGGCGAGAGACCGAUAGCGAACAAGUACAGUGAUGGAAAGAUGAAAAGAACUUUGAAAAGAGAGUGAAAAAGUACGUGAAAUUGUUGAAAGGGAAGGGCUUGAGAUCAGACUUGGUAUUUUGUAUGUUACUUCUUCGGGGGUGGCCUCUACAGUUUAUCGGGCCAGCAUCAGUUUGGGCGGUAGGAGAAUUGCGUUGGAAUGUGGCACGGCUUCGGUUGUGUGUUAUAGCCUUCGUCGAUACUGCCAGCCUAGACUGAGGACUGCGGUUUAUACCUAGGAUGUUGGCAUAAUGAUCUUAAGUCGCCCGUCUUGAAC